AACGGUCUAUACCUGCGGUACCUGCGGAAGGAUCAUUACAAAUCCAACAAUUAACUCUGUUGAAAAAGAAAGGUGUUUUUAUUGUGCUUCACCUUGACCGUGCACUUGUAUAUAAAUAUAUACAUAUACGCAUGUUCGAACAAAAGCUAGUAAAUAGUGAGCUUUCCUGCAUUGUCCUAAGCUUUUGUUCAUUCGUCUUCGGCGGAACGGAUGCACUCUCGUUGGUUAGUCUGCCACGAG
rnacentral:misc_RNA from 1 species